rfam:Symbiodinium microadriaticum strain CCMP2467 Smic.scaffold38, whole genome shotgun sequence.
UGCAUCAAUGCAGACAGGGCUACCUACUAUCUAACGAAACCACAGCCAAGGGAACGGGCUUGGGAUAAUCAGCGGGGAAAGAAGACCCUGUUGAGCUUGACUCUAUUCCGACUUGGUGAAAUGACUUAGGAGGCGUAGCAUAAGUGGGAGCUGCGGUGAUCUUGAAAUACCACUACUCUUAAUGUCAUUUUCCUUUUUCCGUGAGACUGAAACUUGCAUCAUGUGAGUUUUUUAGUUAAUGUUGCCUCUUUUGGCAGCUGAUCUGUGCGGAAGACAUAAUCAGGUGGGGAGUUUGGCUUGGGCGGCACAUCUGUUAAAUGAUAACGCAGGUGUCCUAAGGUAAGCUCAAUGAGAACAGAAAUCUCAUGUGGACCAAAAAAGGAAAAGCUUGCUUGAUUUUGAAUUUAAGUGCGAAUACAAACUGUGAAAACAUGGCUUAUCGAUCCUUUAGGUCUGAGAAAUAUUCAGCUAGAGGUGUCAGAAAAGUUACCACAAGGAUAACUGGCUUGUGGCAACCAGGCGUUCGUAGUGACAUUUGAUCCUUCGAUGUCGGCUCUUCCUAUCAUUGAGACGCAGAAGUCCCGAAGUGUCGGAUUGUUCACUGUGCAGUAGCGCAACGGGAAGGAGCAAUCCUCCCUUCACGCCCGCAGAAAAAA